rnacentral:tRNA from 1 species
GCACCCGUAGCUCAACUGGAUAGAGUGCCGGUCUUCGAAACCGUAGGUUGUGGGUCCGAGCCCCACCGGGUGCA